GCAGCGGCAGGUGCACGCUGAUCUCCGUCUGCGGCAUGCAACUGGUGCGAGCCCAGCCGGGUCCCUGACUUCUGCUCUGCCUACUUCGUGCCCGCCUUUGUUUCUGCUUGGACCUGUGGUAUUUUUCUAGGAAUGUAUUGUGUGACUUAUGCCGGUCCGUAGACCACUAUGUAGGGCAAACGGUUUGCUUGCAGCAGUCUGAUGUAGAAGCCACCUUGAGUUUUAAAAGUAUGUAGGCGAAGAGAAACACUUGCAGCAACUCAGAAACGGUUGCCAGAGACCGAAGCGGCAACCUUUAAAUCACAAUCAUUACGCGCAAAGCCAGGAAAAAAUACUCUGCGUUACAUUGUGCGCGGUGUCGCUCCUGAAAUAGACCCCGUGCUCUGAUCCGAUAGGAUGGAGAAUGGUUUGUGUGCUGGAGAGGCAAAUAUUCGACUUCCUUGGAUACCAGUGGGCGCCCAUCCUUGCAAAUUUUGUACAUAUUAUUAUCGUCAUUCUUGGUUUAUUUGGAACUAUUCAAUAUAGACCUCGUUACAUAACGGGAUAUGCUGUCUGGCUAGUCCUCUGGGUUACGUGGAAUGUGUUUGUUAUCUGCUUCUACUUGGAGGCUGGGGACCUCUCAAAGGAAACAGACCUUCUGCUGACUUUUAACAUUUCGAUGCAUCGAUCCUGGUGGAUGGAAAAUGGACCGGGGUGCAUGGUGACGUCGGUGACCCCCGCCCCUGACUGGGCCCCGGAGGACCACCGCUACAUCACGGUGUCGGGCUGUCUCCUGGAGUACCAGUACGUAGAAGUGGCCCACAGCGCCCUGCAGAUCGCCCUCGCACUGGCAGGGUUCGUCUACGCCUGCUAUGUUGUGAAAUGUAUAACUGAAGAAGAAGACAGCUUUGAUUUCAUAGGUGGCUUUGACUCUUACGGCUAUCAAGGGCCUCAGAAGACAUCACACUUACAGCUACAGCCAAUGUACAUGCAAAUUCCCUUGGAUAACAACUGAUAACAAAUUCUAUAUAUCAGCAUCAAGUGAUAUGCUGAAUUGCAAGUGAAGAUCAAAAUAGAAAGUCAAAAUAAAACCGGACAGCAGUGUCAGCCCAUGGACCUCUCAAAGAAUUUGUUCCACAGCGGCCUCCUGUACUUCACAGAGAGCAACAAGCGAGUAAAGUUUAACACAGAUCCAUAUGGACAACACACACACACCCCACUCCCACCCUCUCCAGGCAGGUAUGCAGGUCACGCCCUCCCUGGGUUUCCCAAGCGGCUCCUCUGUCCCGGCCCCUGAGGCCACAGAGCUGCCCACUCACUGCCCACAGCCGCGGCCUCGGUGGGCUGGGAGCCGCCGGGUGGGGAUCGAGCCCGGUGUCUGCGCUCCACACAUCUCACUAGCACCACGGCUGCUCGGGCAGUGUAAUUCAAAAACAAACAUCAGGACCUUGCACGGCCCAGAAGGCAGGUUGUCAGCCCUCCAGGCUGGACCGCCCACGCUCGCCUUAGCCCACCCGCGCCAGUGCAGACCCCACUCCGAGGCUGGCACCCGCUCUGCAAGCCCGGGGCCUGCCCGGGCAGCGCCCCCAGUGUCUGCCUGAGGACGCUGCCAGCCAGAGGAGACAAGAGUUCCAGAACAACCAUCAACAGUGGUCGCUUUGAUACGCUCAGAGGCGGUCUUCCCGUGGGGCUGGGGCGGGACAAAGUAAAAUUUAGUCAUCCACCAAACUCACUAAUCUCCUGGAAGCAGAAACAGUUUAACUCACUUUAUUUAUUGCACUCUAGGUGCUUUUCUAAGUAUCUACGGAUGUCUUUUACUAACAGAAAUCAGCUGUGGAUUUCUAGCAGCAGAGGCCAACUAACUAUGUAUUAGCUAUGUUUACUCUUUUAUAUCUAAUUCAAACCGAAGACCCGAUGUAGGUGACCUUUCUUUUCUAACUUUGGUGUACGAGAUUAUUUUUUGGGGGGGUGGGUGGGAACCACAGUGAAACAUUUGCGAUUUCUGUGUGGUACUGGGGGAUCCAGUGUGUUAGAGUGUGUUUCAAUUCUCCUGUAUUAUUGUGGCAGAAAAAAAAAGAAAACCCUGUGCUGUUAACGUAGUUGGCAACAAGAUGCCUUUGGAAACUUAAUAGUAGGUCAAUGUAUUUAUGGGAUAUUCUGAACUCCUAGGAAAUUUUGCUCUAUAAUUUCAAGCAUUAUUUGGUUUUCAUUAGUGAGAAACAUAAUUAGCUAAGGCUUAUCAGUAGCUCAGAUACGUCUUAUUUUUUCUUGGAGACCACUAAAAUCCAUUUGUGUUCUGACCAACUUCACACCAUAUUUAAGUGCGGUGAAAUUCAGACUGGGAUAGUUAUACAUUGGCUUGGAGCAACUUUUUUCUUUGGUUUCUGUGAAGUUUCAGUUGUUGGGUUAACCUCCUUUGGACUUCAGCCCAUUCUGAGCUCCAUAUAACAGUCCCAUAUCUGUGUUUGCAUGGAUGUUUAUAAUAUAGACGCACAUAUACAUUUGGAAAUGGUAAAGGAACAAAAGUUACUGCUGAAACAUAAACCACAAGAGAACAAAGAUUCUAGCAUUCACGCUUGAAUUUUCUCAGUGGCUUGUAUAUGUUUGUCCAUACUUACAUGUAUAAAAUUCACAGCCGCAAUAUGUCAGUGAAACCUCAUUUGAUGCUUUUAUAGUGACAUGCAUGUUUAAUGGAUGAAAAAAUAUUUACCAAUGUAUUUUCCUUUGAUUCCUAAGAUAUAAAUACUAUACAGGCCAGAAACUAUCCUAAUGUGACUAUUAAUGUGACUCUUAACAUGAGGUUUCACUGUGCAUACAUGUAACGAGACGCCACCUUGCAGUACAUGUAUAUGGGUACAGAAAUAGCCCUCAUCCUCCUGCUUUCAGUUGCAGACAACACCACCAAAUCACCAAUUUCAUCACCACCAAAAUUUUCAAAAACAGUUGUUGACUACUAAAAAGUAAUCAAUGGACAGGCCUUUUGUAGGAGCACUAAGCACAGUAGUGUGAUUCCAUCCGGGAAAACAUCUAAGUUGUACAGCUGUAUCCUCCUCAAAAUCUGGUGAAGAAUGCUAUUUUUCUAGGCUGAGCUUUUGUUAUAAACCUAAUAUUCAGAAGGCAAGAGUUACAAUCUUGAUGUGUCUCUUUUUUUUUUUUGCAUUUGUUAAUUCUGAAUGUAUUUUUAACAGAGUGAUUUUUUUGACUUACUAGUGUAAUUUGCAUUUUAAAAAUAAAUGGAAAAACAACUUC